rnacentral:rRNA from 1 species
AGGGGGACAACAGUUGGAAACGACUGCUAAUACCGCAUACGAUCCAAUCUCGGCAUCGAGGAUGGAUGAAAGGUGGCCUCUAUUUAUAAGCUAUCACUGAAGGAGGGGAUUGCGUCUGAUUAGCUAGUUGGAGGGGUAACGGCCCACCAAGGCGAUGAUCAGUAGCCGGUCUGAGAGGAUGAACGGCCACAUUGGGACUGAGACACGGCCCAG